UGUGAAUCUGUAAUUUUGUAUGCAAUAAAGCAAGGUAUCAAGACAGCAAUGUUUGGAAUCACUGUUAAAAACUGACAGAAAAGCAAGUACUCCUUAUGACCCCAUGAACGUUCAAUUUCAACGCCAUACACCGAGAGAAUGAGAAUACUUGAAAGUAGCGUAAAAACAUUAGCAUCAACAAAACUUGUGGUAAUUAUUGUCCAUGGAAACAAGAACAAAGCAUUUGGAACCAAAUGAAAACAUAAAAGAAAGAAAGUUACAAUAGAACUCCUACCAAACACUUUGAUGUAGAUGCUGAUUCCAAAUGAUAUUGCAGAAAACAAUACCUCUAGGAUAAGAAGCCUUUUCGUAACCGAAAACUUGGAGAAAUGAUUCAUUGAUAAAUUUUAGGUAAAAAAAAAUAGUAAAGUUCUCGUUACCGUAAAAAUCAUCGACGUCAACAAUUUUGGUCUCAAAGUAAACAAUACCAGGAUACCUCUAAGUAAAUGGUGCAAUCCGAAAUAAAAUUUCUAGCUGUUUGCAUCUAAAAAAUAGAAACUCUUACGAAAACUGAAUUGGCCAAAGAUCGCUUCACUGGAAUAUAAGCAUAAUAAGAAAUUGCCUAUAUGGAUUAAUACAGUUAGUAAAUUAGAAAAUGAGAAGUUGAGAUAAGACACUGCACCUGGUUUUUUAAUGCCUUCUCAAUAAUCUCAUUUACAGGGACAUUCGGUAGCGGGUAAGAUGA